rnacentral:rRNA from 1 species
GAGUAAUGUAUAGUUAAUCUGCCCUUUAGAGGGGGAUAACAGUUGGAAACGACUGCUAAUACCCCAUACUCCUUCUCUCUUAAUGAGAGUCGGGAAAUGUUUUUUCGCUAAAGGAUGAGACUAUAUGGUAUCAGUUAGUUGGUGAGGUAAUGGCUCACCAAGACUAUGACACCUAGCUGGUCUGAGAGGAUGAUCAGCCACACUGGAACUGAGACACGGUCCAGACUCC